AAGCACCAGGGCACAGGCUUGAUCCCCUCUUCCCAGCUUCCCUAUUGUGCCAGUGGGCAGAAACCAACCACACAAUGUUGCUGAGGCCGUGCCCAAGGAGCAGACAAAGGCACCAAUGGGAAGCCUCAGGGGGGAGCAACACUUCCCCCAGAAACAGUUCCAGGAGGCACCAGGCGCCGGCCAGGGCUGCAGUUAAUCAUUCACCCCACAACACAGGAAGUGAGCCCUACGCCAGUCCCAGCCCCAGGGCUUCCUGAGGUCGGGGCAGGUCCGCAGUCCACACAUCACCCAGACAGAGGACAGCCCAGCCCAGCCACAGUUGCUUCUUUGAGUCAGGGUGCAGCUCUGGUCACCUGGCGGCCUCUUCAGCUCAGCCCUCCACAAAGUGUGAGCCUGAAGGACCACCCUGAAUUGCCCUUGUAGGACCCAGAACAGCUACCAGCAGAAUCAGAUUCUCAUGGACCAACUGGUAUUCAAAGAGACAAUCUGGAAUGAUGCGUUCUGGCAGAACCCCUGGGACCAGGGGGGCCUGGCAGUGAUUAUCUUAUUCAUCACCGCUGUCCUGCUUCUCAUCUUAUUUGCCAUCGUGUUUGGUUUACUCACUUCCACAGAAAACACUCAGUGUGAAGCGGGUGAAGAGGAGUGACCUGACUUCCUGGGGACUGAGAUGGCAGCAGGGGAGGCGAGCUGACCUGCCCCCAUUCCAGUGGUGGGCCCCUUUGCAAUUCCCUCUGGCUCAGGGGCCAAGCCCUGGUGUCUUCCUUUCCCACCAGGAAAAAGUCUAGUAAAAUACUGUAUCUGGCUUAGGGUUGGUCAGACUAGUAAGAUGGGGAGGCUGGUCUGAGACCAAUUCUGGCUCCUUGACCCUAUUGUUUUUAGGGUUCCCCGACCAGAACCCUAAAAGCACAUGGAGGGGACGGCUCCACUGCCUCAGGUGGAAGGAGCUAUGGCUAACAAGGUUCUCUAACAGGCUCACAGGCCCAGCCAGCAAUUUCACAAAUCCUUGACAGAGAAAGACACAACCAAAUGAAAUAAAAAUUCCUUUUCAAAUCUGC
rnacentral:lncRNA from 1 species